rnacentral:rRNA from 1 species
UACGGAGGGGGCUAGCGUUGUUCGGAAUUACUGGGCGUAAAGCGCACGUAGGCGGCUUUGUAAGUUAGAGGUGAAAGCCCGGGGCUCAACUCCGGAAUUGCCUUUAAGACUGCAUCGCUAGAAUUGUGGAGAGGUAAGUGGAAUUCCGAGUGUAGAGGUGAAAUUCGUAGAUAUUCGGAAGAACACCAGUGGCGAAGGCGACUUACUGGACACAUAUUGACGCUGAGGUGCGAAAGCGUGGGGGAGCAAACAGGAU